GGAUGCGAUCAUACCAGCACUAAUGCAACGGAUCCCAUCAAAACUCCGCAGUUAAGCGUACUUGGGCAAGAGUAGUACUAGGAUGGGGGACCUACCAGAAAGUCCCCGUGGUGCAUCCG
rnacentral:rRNA from 1 species